rnacentral:rRNA from 1 species
AACGAACGCUGGCGGCAUGCCUAACACAUGCAAGUCGAACGAGGCCUUCGGGUCUAGUGGCGCACGGGAGCGUAACGCGUGGUAACCUGCCCUUAGGUUCGGAAUAACUCCCCGCAAGGGGUGCUAAUACCGGCUAAUGUCUUCGGACCAAAUAUUUAUCGCCUUUGGAUGGGCCCGCGUUGGAUUAGCUAGUUGGUAGGGUAAAAGCCUACCAAGGCGACGAUACAUAGCUGGUCUGAGAGGAGGAUCAGCCACACUGGGACUGAGACACGGCCCAGACUCCUACGGGAGGCAGCAGUGGGGAAUAUUGGACAAUGGGCGAAAGCCUGAUCCAGCAAUGCCGCGUGAGUGAUGAAGGCCUUAGGGUUGUAAAGCUCUUUUACCCGGGAUGAUAAUGACAGUACCGGGAGAAUAAGCUCCGGCUAACUCCGUG